GAAUUAAGAAAUUUCAAGAAAAAGCUUCUAACUUUAUCUUAAGCAGAAAAUAACUGUUUUUAAUUCA
rnacentral:tRNA from 1 species